AGUGAACGCUGGCGGUAGGCCUAACACAUGCAAGUCGAACGGCAGCACAGGAGAGCUUGCUCUCUGGGUGGCGAGUGGCGGACGGGUGAGGAAUACAUCGGAAUCUACUCUGUCGUGGGGGAUAACGUAGGGAAACUUACGCUAAUACCGCAUACGACCUACGGGUGAAAGCAGGGGACCUUCGGGCCUUGCGCGAUUGAAUGAGCCGAUGUCGGAUUAGCUAGGUGGCGGGGUAAAGGCGCACCAAGGCGACGAUCCGUAGCUGGUCGGAGAGGAUGAACCGCAACACUGGAACUGAGACACUGUCCAGACUCCUACGGGAGGCAGCAGUGGGGAAUAUUGGACAAUGAGCGCAAGCCUGAUCCAGCCAUACCGCGUGGGUGAAGAAGGCCUUCGGGUCGUAAAGCCCUUUUGUUGGGAAAGAAAUCCAGCUGGCUAAUACCCGGUUGGGAUGACGGUACCCAAAGAAUAAGCACCGGCUAACUUCGUGCCAGCCGCCGCCGUAA
rnacentral:rRNA from 1 species